ensembl:lncRNA
CCUCCCCGAGCCCCGCUGCCUCCCGCCUCCCUCCUCCCCGGCGCCCGCCUCCCCGCGGCGUGCCCGCCUCCCUCCCUCCGUCCCCCGGCCGGCAGCCGGGCAGCGGGCGGGCGCUGCCGCCGGCCCCACAGCACCGCGGCCGGGCUGCGCGGAGCGGAGCGGAGCGGAGCGGGGCUGGCUGGGCGGGGAGGGAGGGAGGGAGGGGAGUGGAUGUGUGUGUGUGUGGAAAGAGCGGGGGGGGGCGAAGGGGGGGAAAUCAAAUAAAUAAAUAAGCUCCCCACCAAUAAGAGAGGCAGCGGCUGGCGAGCAGGCUGGGCUCGGCUGGGAGAGGUCCUCGCUCGGCUGCGUGUUUGUUUGUGUUGUGACCAGAGCCGCGAAGUUCAGAGCCCAAACGUGUUGCUCCGCUCCGCUCCACCUGCUCGGCCGGCGGGGGGGUGCCGCUUCGGCCGCCCCGCCGCCCUCCGGGGCCGAAGGACGGGAGAGGAGCGCGGGGCCGCGCCCGCCGCCCGCCCGCCUUCCCCUCAGCCACCGCCGGGGAGGCGACGGACAGGUGUAUCUCCAGAAAAACAAAAAAUUAAUGACAGGAUCAGAAUACACUCUGGAUUUUCUUCCCAUGUGCAGACUACACCUGAAGUGUUGAAUUCACAUACAGCAACACCUUCCUGUAAAUACUCCAUUUCAGUAGAUCACCAGAAGGAACUGCAGCACAUUUCAAAGGUAAGGACCUCCUUAAAUAAUACUUCAAAUGUUCAUUCCUUCUGGUUUAUCAGCUAUAAAAGAAAAUGGAGAAUGUUAAUUCUUU